UACGAGGGGGGCAAGCGUUGUUCGGAAUUAUUGGGCGUAAAGGGUGCGUAGGCGGUUUUGUAAGUCUUGUGUGAAAUCUUCAGGCUCAACUUGAAGACUGCACGAGAAACUGCAGGGCUUGAGUGUGGGAGAGGUGAGUGGAAUUCCUGGUGUAGCGGUGAAAUGCGUAGAUAUCAGGAGGAACACCGGUGGCGAAGGCGGCUUUCUGGACAGUAACUGACGCUGAGGCGCGAAAGCUAGGGGAGCAAACAGG
rnacentral:rRNA from 1 species